rnacentral:rRNA from 1 species
CCUACGGGGGGCGGCAGUUAAGAAUCUUGCGCAAUGGGCGAAAGCUUGACGCAGCGACGCCGCGUGAACGAUGAAGGCUUUCGGGUUGUAAAGUUCGUUAAGUAGGGAAGAAUAAGCAAUAGGUAAUAUUUAUUGUGAUGACGGUACCUACCCAAAGCCCCGGCUAACUACGUGCCAGCAGCCGCGGUAAUACGUAUGGGGCGAGCGUUGUUCGGAAUUAUUGGGCGUAAAGGGUGUCUAGGCGGGAGAUUAAGUUGGUUGUGAAAUCCAUGGGCUCAACCCGUGAAUUGCAUCCAAAACUGAUUUUCUUGAGUUAGGGAGAGGAUAGCGGAAUUCUUGGUGUAGCGGUGAAAUGCGUAGAUAUCAAGAAGAACACCAGUGGCGAAGGCGGCUAUCUGGCCUAUAACUGACGCUGAAGCACGAAAGCGUGGGGAGCGAACGGGAUUAGAUACCCCGGUAGUCCACGCCGUAAACGUUGUGUACUAGGUGUUAGUGCUUUAAGCACUAGUGCCGUAGCUAACGCAUUAAGUACACCGCCUGGGGAGUACGCUCGCAAGAGUGAAACUCAAAGGAAUUGACGG